GAUGAACGCUGGCGGCGUGCUUAACACAUGCAAGUCGAACGAAGACAUCUGAGUGCUUGCACUUGGAUGGACUGAGUGGCGGACGGGUGAGUAACGCGUGGGUAACCUGCCUUAUACAGGGGGAUAACAGUUGGAAACGACUGCUAAUACCGCAUAAGCGCACGGUAUCGCAUGAUACAGUGUGAAAAACUCCGGUGGUAUAAGAUGGACCCGCGUCUGAUUAGCUUGUUGGUGAGGUAACGGCCCACCAAGGCGACGAUCAGUAGCCGGCCUGAGAGGGUGAACGGCCACAUUGGGACUGAGACACGGCCCAAACUCCUACGGGAGGCAGCAGUGGGGAAUAUUGCACAAUGGGGGAAACCCUGAUGCAGCGACGCCGCGUGAGUGAUGAAGUAUUUCGGUAUGUAAAACUCUAUCAGCAGGGAAGAUAAUGACGGUACUGACUAAGAAGCACCGGCUAAAUACGUGCCAGCAGCCGC
rnacentral:rRNA from 1 species